UUACAGGAGAGGAAUGUCAUCCACCCUUAUUACAUGUUUCCUUAUGGGAAAGUGAUUUCCGUUUAGCAUAUUUUCAUUUAGCAUGCCGUUCUUUAGGAACACAGCUGGAGUGCUAAACAAAGGAUAGUUGUAGUCCCAUUUCUUUGUGGAAAAUAAAUGGCUGGUCUGACCUAUCAUUAUUCUCCAGUUUCAACUUUGUCAUCAAGAUAAUUAUCCUUUAGAUUUUGACAUUACGAUUGUACAAAUGGGUUCUGCUACUUUUCUCUAUAGUUCCUGAGGAUUCAAAGAUCCAUCCACCUGCCUGCUUCAUAUCUAGUUUCGGCCUUAUUUCCUCCAGAAACCCUCCUAGUGCUUCUGCCUACAUCCUUUACUUUUACUUAAUACCUCCCCAGUCCCCAGGUCAAGAUACAUUCCUCAACCAACUAAAUAAAAAACUAAUCAUCUGGUAAUUUAUCUCAUUGCAAUUGAAGCUGGCUUUGCCCAAAUUGGCUCCUGUAUUUUCUACAUUACAAGUAACUACACUUCAAAAGUACUUAACUGGCUGUCAAGUACUUUGGGACAUCCUGAGGUUGUGGAAAGGCCUGCAAUACCCCUGGAAGCGUGGUGUACUGUGACUUCCAUCACCUGAUGGUAUGAGCACCAACCACAUCAAAGUUUCUGGGAUUAGAAUGCCAUGCAGAUAUCGGAUGAGCUGUGGAGACUGAGGACGAAUAAGAUCGUUCAUACUAGCUGGGAAUGUCUGGCUGCGGAUGGUGGAUCUCGCCUCAGUGUAUGCUACAAGCCAUAUAAACUGCUACUGGACCAGAAGAUCCCGCUGGCUGGAGGGGCCAGAAAAUAAUGGCCUUGAGAUUUCUUACCUCACAUAAGGAGAAAGUUUUAUAGAUCCAGGGGAGAAAGGUCAUAAAGGGUGUUGAAGAUGGGGGAAGCAGGCCAGCAUAUGCCACAUGAAGAUUUAUUUUUAGCACAUUCUGUGUCUCUUAAUUGUUACAGAACAAUAAUUGGAAAGCCACAUGUCACUCUUUUGGCUCCAUGUGACAUGUGAGCCACAUUAUUCAGGAACCCAUUCCAACCCCUCUAUCUUUCUAUUCCUUUUGUGGAUGUGCCACAGCCUGAGGAAAAUACACAUUUCUGAUUAUCUAGUGAUGCUAGUAUUUCACUUUUUGCUUCCUCACUCACUGUAUACCCCCCAGGUCAUUAACAAUUUAGUGAAGAAGAAAGGCAUGCACUGUUUGAAAUAUAGAGAAUAAAUGUGCAGGAAUAGCUGGUGGUGGCACCCAACAAUAACAUGGUCUUAACGUGGAGAAUCAAAUAGAGAGGUGGAGAAGCAUAGGUAGGAAAUUCUAGAGCCUUGGCAACUGAAGGCUACAGAGAUAGGAAGGACUUGAAAACAAGGAUAAGAAUUUAAAAACUGAGGCAUGGCUGGACUGGCAGCCAGUGUAGGUCAGCGAGCACAGGGAUGAUGUGUGAGUGGGAUUUAGUGCAUGUUGGAAUAUGGGCAGCAGAUUUUUGUAUUGCUGCCACAGAAUUCUUGGAACGUAAUCCUAGUUCAGCAGGGAUGCAAAUGGAUGAUAUCUAUUAUACACUCUGUCCAAUUUUCAUUUCCAUGGAUACUCUCGCAGGCACUUGUUACAACCAGGAUGGAAGGAGUGCACAGGUUAUCUAGCCCCAAUACUCCGCAGGUCACAUCAUUAGUUUAAAAAUUUAAUUCACUCACCAAAAUGGCCAAUUGUUUUUUUUUACCUUCGCUACUGUUAGACCCAGAAUAAAAGAGACUUCAACCAGGCCUCUUUCAAUAAACUCAGAAUGAUUGAUUUAUUACAAGAUAGGCUAAGCCUGUAUCCACUGGAGCUUAGAAGAGUAAGAGGCAACUUUAUUGAAAAAUAAGAUUCGGAGUGGUCUUGAGGGGGUGAAUGUGGUAAGGAUGUUUCCUCUUGUGGGAGAAUCUAGAACUCGGGGGUUACUUUCAAAAUAAGGGGUUGUCCAUUUAGGACAGAGAUGAGGAAAAAAAAUGUUCUCAGUGGGUUGUAAGACUUUGGAAUUCUCUUCCUCACAAGGUGGUUGAGGCAGAAUCCUUGAAUAUCUUUAAGGCAGAAGUAGAUGGAAUCUUGAUAAGCAAGCAGGUGAAAGGUUAUUGGCGGUAGACAGGAAUAUGAGGUAAAAAUCAGAUCAACAACAAUCUCAUUGAAUGGUGGAGCAGGCUCGAUGGGCCAAGUGGCCUACUCUUGCUCCUAAUUCGUAUGUUCAUGUGUAACAAAAUUUCUUUUUUAAACCGAGUUGCAAAACUGGUUAACACACAAUUGUAAUCUGGAAGUAUAACUAUCUGCCCCUUUUAAAACUCCCCAUGCACACACAAACAAUCAAAGGACAAACAGAUAGGGUCUCUGCAGAGAUGGACUUUGGAGGAUAAGCUUUAUAAAAUAAAGGAUAAAGUUCACAGGUUUUAAAUGCUGUCAAUCUGGCGCUCCCUCGUAUGAAGACGGGCUGCUGAUCCCAGUGGGUGUAUGGAAGUUCUCACCAAUAGAGCUCUGACAUGGAGGAGAAUAUAGCCGGAUCAAUCCUUCUUGCCUCCAUCUCUCGGGUUUCCAAAGACAAGACAAGUUCCACUGAAAGGAGGGUUCUUAGCUGGAUACUGAUAACUACUUUAUUUCAGGCAAGGCAAGAAGGCGAGCUGGGCAGCUUUUUACUUUCUUGGUGCAGUUCCAACUGAAUUCAAAAGACCAAGUCGAAAACUGAAAGCUCAUUCCUGUCAUAUGAUUUCCAGUAAAUCACUAGCCUUUGCCUUUAAACCAGUUUUUUUCGCAUCCAUUAAAAUAAUUGCAGUAUAAACAAGCAAACAGCUUUUCCCUCUUAAUUACUAUGCUGCUGAGGUGAUUUCUUGGAAAAGGCAUGCUUACUCCCAGCCCAAAGGUGAACUUAUGACCUUUUUGUAAAAAGAAGUAUCCAAGUAAUGCAAUGUCUUUCCAAAUUUCAGAAGAAAAAUACAGUUCGUGGAGAUAUGGUUUUCCCAACACAAUAAGCACCCCUGGUUUGCCCAGCAGGAAAAUAAGCCCUGUGGUUUGAAGAGCCGGGAGGUUUGGGGGUUCGUGUUCACAAGAUGUUAACAGCGGUUUCAUAUUUAUGUAGGUUAUAGACAUCACAUUUACAGUCAGGUGAGCAGGGUAUCCAACCCAAUGGAAUGAUGCUUGGACGUGAUCAUGCCAAUUUUAAGCUGCCGGCUCAGCAGAAACCAAUGGGUGGGCAGUUAAAAUAGCCAUAGCAAUCCUGCCACUUUACCACGAGUUACAAUCUUAAUCUCUUUGAGCAGAUGAAGGUACACCUGAUGGAAUGCAGCAGGACCCUUCUUUAAGUAGGCAGAUUGGACUCCUAUAAUGUCAUCAGGACCCCCAUUUCAAUUUUAAGCUGAGGCCUGUGCAAAGAAGCAACCACGAGCUUCUCCAUCAGAAUAACCUGGCAGCAAGAGGAACUGAGGUUAGAAGAGCCCCUAGAAAAAUAAGUUCAUUUUCUUUCCUUUUGUGGGCCAGGUGGCAUUAUCCCUUGAGUUCCACCUCCUUUUCUGAUGCCCAGGAAAAGGAGGCAGGUGCCUGGUAGAAAUGAAUCCCACCCCCAAAUCGCUACUCCCCAGCCCAGAUAGGAUUUUUCCAGGUUCAGACAGUUCAGGCCUUCAGCCUUCAAUUCCACCAGCCUUAAUGUAUCUGGUCAGUUUACUUUGGUCAAAUUUCUGAGACCUGUGUGUCACUGUGUCAGAGCGCAGUGACUUAGGUAGGAGUGACUUAGAUAGAGGAAAUCACAUUUAAUAUUUGAGAGAAGAGAUAGAGAGCUAAAUAGAGAACUUGUCAUGUGGGAAAUUGCAGAUGUGAGUUGAUAUCUUACUUCAACAGCAUGCCAAGCUAUCAGACCGCCAAUUAUGUCUAAAAUAAACUGGUUACCUAGGAAA